GUCUGGAAACCAAGCCUUAUGAAGAAUGGUUGAGGGAGCUGGGUUUGUUUAGCCUGGAGAAACAGAGCAAACAGGAGAGCCAUCUUCCAAUAUCUCGAGGGCCGCCACAUGGAAGAGGGAACAAGCUUGUUUUCUCCUGUUCUGGAGAGUAUGACUCGAACCCAUGACUUCAAGUUACCAGAAAGGAGAUUCCAACCAAACAUCGGGAAGAACCUUCUGACAGAAAGAGCUGUCCGAGAGUGGAGAAUGGACUAGCGAGGAAGGUGGUGGCCUCUCCUUCCCUGGAGGUUUUUAAGCAGAGGUUGGAUGGCCAUCUGUUAUGAAUGAACUAGCUGAGAUUCCUCAUUGCAGGGGGUUGGGCUAGAUGACCCUUGGGUCCCUUCCAACUCUAUGAUUCUAUAAGUACCAGUGAUAAGACAGUCCACAAAAGGAAAAGGGGUUGGAAUGGAGGAGGGCAGGGGAAAGAAAACUCCUGGCACUCAUUCUUUCAUGCUACAGAACUAAAAGAUUUCCCCGCUUUUCUUCUUCUUUUUCUCUGGGGUGCUGUGUUAAGCGCUCACCCUAAGGGGAAACAGGUCCCCCCCCCCUUAGAGGAAGUGGACUGG